GACGAACGCUGGCGGCGUGCUUAACACAUGCAAGUCGAACGGAAAGGCCCUUCUUUUGUGGGGGGCUCGAGGGGCGAACGGGUGAGUAACACGUGAGUAACCUGCCCUUUACUCUGGGAUAACUUCAGGAAACUGGGGCUAAUACCGGCUAGGAGCUCCUGCUGCAUGGCGGGGGUUGGAAAGUUUCGGCGGUUGGGGAUGGACUCGCGGCUUAUGAGCUUGUUGGUGGGGUAGUGGCUUACCAAGGCUUUGACGGGUAGCCGGCCUGAGCGGGUGACCGGCCACAUUGGGACUGAGAUACGGCCCAGACUCCUACGGGAGGCAGCAGUGGGGAAUAUUGCACAAUGGGCGGAAGCCUGAUGCAGCAACGCCGCGUGCGGGAUGACGGCCUUCGGGUUGUAAACCGCUUUCGCCUGUGACGAAGCGUGAGUGACGGUAAUGGGUAAAGAAGCACCGGCUAACUACGUG
rnacentral:rRNA from 1 species